rnacentral:siRNA from 1 species
AGAAGUUGUACCUCACUGAAGCCA